rnacentral:sRNA from 1 species
UCCUAGCCCUGAUUGCAACGGAAAUCCUUUUUAUACGCUUUUUCGGCGAAUAAAAAGAUUGAAGAGAAAAGCGGGAAAUAGC